GAUGAACGCUGGCUCCAGGCUUAACACAUGCAAGUCGAGGGGAAACGACGGGGAAGCUUGCUUCCCCGGGCGUCGACCGGCGCACGGGUGAGUAACGCGUAUCCAACCUGCCUCUGACUGAGGGAUAACCCGUCGAAAGUCGGCCUAAUACCUCAUGGUAUCGUCUGCGGGCAUCCAACGACGAUUAAAGAUUUCAUCGGUCAGGGAUGGGGAUGCGUCUGAUUAGCUUGUUGGCGGGGUAACGGCCCACCAAGGCUACGAUCAGUAGGGGUUCUGAGAGGAAGGUCCCCCACAUUGGAACUGAGACACGGUCCAAACUCCUACGGGAGGCAGCAGUGAGGAAUAUUGGUCAAUGGGCGAGAGCCUGAACCAGCCAAGUAGCGUGCAGGAAGACGGCCCUAUGGGUUGUAAACUGCUUUUAUGCGGGGAUAAAGUGAGGGACGUGUCCCUCAUUGCAGGUACCGAAUGAAUAAGGACCGGCUAAUUCCGUG
rnacentral:rRNA from 1 species